GACGAACGCUGGCGGCGUGCUUAACACAUGCAAGUCGAACGGAAAGGCCCUGCUUGCAGGGUACUCGAGUGGCGAACGGGUGAGUAACACGUGGGUGAUCUGCCCUGCACUUCGGGAUAAGCCUGGGAAACUGGGUCUAAUACCGGAUAGGAGCCAUUUUUAGUGUGAUGGUUGGAAAGUUUUUUCGGUGUAGGAUGAGCUCGCGGCCUAUCAGCUUGUUGGUGGGGUAAUGGCCUACCAAGGCGGCGACGGGUAGCCGGCCUGAGAGGGUGGACGGCCACAUUGGGACUGAGAUACGGCCCAGACCCCUACGGGAGGCAGCAGUGGGGAAUAUUGCACAAUGGGCGCAAGCCUGAUGCAGCGACGCCGCGGGGGGGAUGACGGCCUUCGGGUUGUAAACUCCUUUCGCUAGGGACGAAGCUUUUUGUGACGGUACCUAGAUAAGAAGCACCGGCUAACUACGUG
rnacentral:rRNA from 1 species